rnacentral:rRNA from 1 species
CCUACGGGUGGCUGCAGUAGGGAAUCUUCGGCAAUGGACGAAAGUCUGACCGAGCAACGCCGCGUGAGUGAAGAAGGUCCUCGGAUCGUAAAACUUCGUUGGUAGAGAAGAACGUUGGUGAGAGUGGAAAGCUCAUCAAGUGACGGUAACUACCCAGAAAGCGACGGCAAACUACGGGCCAGCAGCCGCGUUAGAACGUGGGUCGCGAGCCGUGUCGGAUUUUAUUGGGCGUAAGGCGAGCGCGGGUGGUUUAUAAAGUUUGGUGGAAACGGCAGGGACUAAACCGUUGAUUGCAUUAGAAACUGGUAGACUUGAGUGCAGGAGAGGAGAGUGGAAUUCCAUGUGUAGCGGUGAAAUGCGUAGAUAUAUGGAAGAACACCGGUGGCGAAGGCGGCUCUCUGGCCUGUAACUGACACUGAGGCUCGAAAGCAUGGGGAGCAAACAGGAUUAGAUACCCCUGUAGUC